rnacentral:lncRNA from 1 species
GCCUGUUAGGCACAGUCUCAGUGGAACCAACAAGUUCUGCCUCAAUUCUGACCUAAAUCUGAUUCUGGAUCAGAGAUCAAAGCAGGGCUCGGCUCGGAACUUCCCAUGACUUUUCUGAAGAACAUCCGUCCAGAACUUUAACACUGCCUCCACCUUAGAUCAGAGUCUCUCAUCUUCUCUGUCAAGCAUCUCUGAGGUGCGUUCAGGUACUGCAGUAAAUGUGAAAGAGGAUGACCUCACCCGAGCUUUGAGACGACCUCCUCUGCCUGUUCCUGAGGUCCAAACCAGAACUUUUCAGGCCCAGUUCGGUUUCAUGUGAACAGAGUGAUGUUCAUCCAGAUUGUUGUCUUUUCUAUUUCAGUGUUUGGACGUCAGACAUUAGUUCUCGUUCAGUGAAACUAACGUCGGGCCUGCUGAUUUAAUGACGUGAAUUGUGUUUCCGGUCUGGCCUCGCAGGUGUUUGUUCACCUGAGCCAGAUUGAGGUCAUAGUGCCUGAAAGUCCGGACUGCACUCAAACGCAGCAGUACCUGACACCUGUUGUUCGGAUGGAGCAAAAGCAGGUGUGUCAGAAAGAUCAAGUAUCAAAUGUUUCCAUUUUGUAACACAUUGAAUCCAAACACAAAAGAGGAGGAAGAAGCUUCCAGAAGUGCAGAAAUGUCAUCUUCUGCUCAUCUGUCUGCGGUUCAGCACUGACCCUGAUGGCUGCAGGGCCUCAUCCAGGAGGAGCUUCUCACUUUAAAACCAUUAUCACUUCCUUUAUUAUGAUGAUGAUGAUGAUGGUGGUGAUGAUGAUGAUGAUUUUCAUUUUUAAAACUUCUGUUUUAUGUAGGGGAAAUCAAAGUUGUUUUUGUCGCCCUCUAGUGGACACUGAUGGAAGAUCCCCAGACUUUUUGUUUACCUUGUUGUCCUGCUUCCGGCAAUGUCUGUAAUUCCAUCCUUGUUGGGUGAAGCUCUGAUCCUGAGACUUCAGCUUUUCUAUACUGGGCCCACAGCGAGUCAUUGGCAGCAGGUCCCGGCGGUGUGAACUUAUCUGCUGCAUUUCUCUGCUCAUAUACCUGCUGGAGCUCAGAUAAGUGGAAGCAGAGCGUCUGCCGUCCUGCAGCCUGGCGGCAGCAGGAAGUUCCCACGCUUGUGAGUUCUUCCCUUCUUCUGUGCGCCAGCUGCUCUUCAUUUACAUCCCAUCAGCUGCACAUGAAAGCAGCAGGAACUGAGCUAAUCUGUGUCUGUCAAAAUGAGCGGAGGAAGAGGAGGUCUGCAGCUGUGAUGCGGCAGAGCGCCGCUCUGACCACACCGAGCCGCAGCUUCCUGUUUGGCUUUCCUCAUGUGCGGCUGAAGUUCAGGUGAGGCCUUCAGGGACGCGUCCCACAGACGGUCUCCAUGGAAACGGAUUCUGCUGUCCUGCUGUCCUCGUGCUGA